GAUUUUUAGCCGAGAAGUUCUCCGCAGGAUGGUGCCACACAUCGGCUCCUGUCUGAAAGAGAUGUACACUACUCAUGAAGAUGUGGAGAUAGGACGGUGCGUCAGGCGUUUUGGAGGGACCCAGUGCGUCUGGUCAUAUGAGCCACCAGAUCCAGUCUGUAUCCAGAUCAGAGGGUCACUGCAGUCACCCGGAUCCAGUACGUAUCCAGACCAGAUGGUGGAUUGUCACCUAGAAAGGCCCCCUACAGCCCUGAAAGACAACUGAGACCAGGACAACUAGAGCCCCAGAUACAGAUCCCCUGUAAAGACAUUGUCUCAGACGAACACAGAUCGGGAUAAGACCACAGGAAACAGAUGAUUUUUCUGCACAAUCUGACUUUGCUGCAGCCUGGAAUUGAACUACUGGUUUCGUCUGGUCAGAGGAGAACUGGCCCCCCAACUGGGCCUGGUUUCGCCCAAGGUUUUUUUUCCAUUCUGUCACCGAUGGAGUUUUGGUUCCUUGCCACUGUCGCCUCUGGCUUGCUUAGUUGGGGUCACUUAAUUUACAGCGAUAUCAUUGACUUGAUUGCAAAUAAAUGCACAGACACUAUUUAAACUGAACAGAGAUGACAUCACUGAAUUCAGUGAUGAACUGCCUUUAACUGUCAUUUUGCAUUAUUGACACACUGUUUUCCUAAUGAAUGUUGUUCAGUUGCUUUGACGCAGUGUAUUUUGUAUAAGGUGAGACACUGCAGGCAAAAACACUAUUUUUUCAAGCACCUGUCAAUUUUGAGAUUUUGGGCUUUUUGGUUUUUCAUAAAGUGCUUUUUCAAACUAGUGGAAGGAAAACAUCCAAAAGACACUGUUAAGUGUUUCUUUUAUAGCACUUUAUCUUUAUCUUUAUAGCACUUUGUCAAUAGAUUUCAAUUACAAUACAUAUUUUUAAAGGCCGUUUUCUCAAAAUGAGUUUUUUCUUUAACACUGACCCAUAAAUCUCCACUUCAGUAGCACUUGCACCAAACUUGACAUUUUUAUUCCUGUCUAUAUCCUGAAGGUUUUUACAGAGGGAUUUGUUCAUACAUAUUUUCCUUGAUUAUAUACAACAUUUUAUUCCCCCCAAAAUUGUGAAAAUAUAUUGUUUUCAGGCUGGUCAAAGUAUUUUCUGAAUUAUGGAGUGACAAAAAAAGAUAACCAGAAUUCCCUCUGUAAAAACAUUUGACUCUAAUAUGUCAAAAAAAAUAAUUAAAAAAAUGUUUGAAACUGAUUUCAUCUAGUGUUCAGAUUUUUGUACUAGACCUUUAUGCAAAUUAGCGCAUAUUUCAUUAAAUAAUGCAUCAUUUGCAUAUUUAAACAUAACAUUUUUGAAAACUCGUAAUACAAAAAAUGUUUGCAAUAAUCAAUGUAAUCAAUCAACUGGGUAAGGUGAUAACUAUUAGUUUUUUUUUUUUUUGCCCUAUUCACCUGCAGUGUCUCGCCUUAAAGCGCUAUAUAAAUAAAGGUGACUUGACUUGACAAGUCUCAGUUAGUCUAGCACAGAACUCAUAGAUAUAUAUAUUCUUUUUUUUUUCUUCUUUUUUUUUCUCAAGAACAGAAUAGAAUACACAAUAAAAGGUGUGUGCUAGUAUAAGCUGAUCAAGUGCUGGCGAAAAAGGUUCACAAGAUAAAUUAUAUGUGGUAUAAAACUUUUGGUUUAAAAGAGAAAGAGAAAAUGUCAGAGAAAAUGGGAGGAUGGGGGUCAUAAAAGAGCAAGGGGGGUGAUGGUGUUUGCUCUCAUUGGAGAUGUCUUCUCCAGAUUAGUUUUACUAUUUUGCUGCAUGGCAUCUGUUUUGUGCAAGAGCCUGAAAUUUUGGAUUCAUGAGGAAAACAUUGCAUAAGGAAAUAAUUUCACUCCUUGUAGCAUAUCUGAUCUAGGGUCACAUUUGCUUGUUAUGUGUUCACAUAUUUACAUUUACACAAAAUACAAUGUAUAGUGUAAAGUCAUGCUUUUCAGAGUGGAGUAUGAAUCACAGUUUUGCUCUGGAGACACUAGCUGCUUUAUGCUUAAUGCAAAACAUCCUGGACCUCCUGAACACUGACGACUGCAUGACUGCAGCAUUUAUAAACUGAGUGCUAGAGCCAAGUGCCAACUUUCCAUUUACAUCCUGUAGUAGACAGGAGACAAAUGAUCAGGGUUAAGUUGCAGACAUCAGCAUUUAUCACAUUAGGAAACUGCCGUUAAUAACUAAAUGAGUCAUUAGAGAGCAUGUUUAGUUUUACUUCAUUAUUAAAGUCACAAUUGGAGUGUUUUUUUUUUUGUUUUUUUUUGUAAUUCACUCGGGUUAAAAAAAAGCUUAAAGGUUGUUACGCGGCAUUCCGAUUUUCCAUGGAAGUAGAUGUGUCUGGACAGUUCUAAUGGCUCCAGAUAACUUGCCUCAUUUAAUUGGAAGACUGACAAGAAUUGUGACUGGUCAUGUCUGGAGUUCUGGUGUGAAAACUGUGGAAAAACACCUCAGCCAAGAAAUAUGUCCAGUGUUACAUUUGAUGAGUACAGUGCAGGUCAGAAUAAAAGUGUAAAUGUUUGUCUUGAAUGUCAGAAAGCACAUCAAAGCACAACAUCAAAGCAGCACACUUGCAAUUACAGUGCUGGUGCUGUUCAAGGUGUCAUACAAUUUGAGUCAUUAAGUCUAACACAUGGGUUAAAACUAAUAAUCCAACGGGGAUAAGAAUAAUUUCUAAUAAUUGCACAAGAUGGAAUACAUCUUGAGGGAUUAUGGCUUCAUCCGUUUUUCAGAUCUAUCUAUUUUGUUGUAAUCAGGAGUUUGCUCACUAUUGCAAAGACAACUCUUGGAAGACAAGAGAACAUCUCAGGUUACUUAUGUAACCAUGGCUCCCUGAAUAGGGAACAAGAUGCUGUAUCCUCUAGGGCUUGCUAUGGGGAAUGCCUCGUCAUAACCCGUAUCUGAAGCAUACAUUCAAAAAAACACCAACAACUUGUUGGCCUGUGACAGCCCAUGACAUCACUACCAGUGCGACAAUAGUAUAAAUAGGCACUGGGAGAACACAACAUCCACUUCUGAUGCUUGUGUCUGAAGCAUGGCAGAAAAACCUAGUGGACUAAGUCUAAGUCUUGGUCUGUCACACAUGGGGCUAACACUUGCUCUACAUGAGCUUGGGAGAGGGGGGCUCGAUGAACAGUAUGAUUGUAGAAAUCAUAAGGUAAGCAUACGACAAGCUUAGUCAAAAACACCUCAGGGACGCAGAAGACGAGCCUAGUUCACCUGAUGCUGCCGGUUCCAGGUGCUCUGGGAAAACAGAGAACUCAAUUCUCAUGUGAAAGGAGAACUCAGAAUUAAGAAAAUGAGUAGCAUGCUCAUAGGCAACCCUUUGAUAAGAGGGAACACUGCUAAAUACUACCACAAGAAAAGACCACAGGGUGAGGAAUACAACUCCAUGGAAGCACCUUGCUCACAAUAACCUUCAUUGGUGAGGAGCACAAUGCUUCUAAGUUUGUCAACCGAGACACAUUGUUUGAGAGGAGCCCAAGGUACCGGGGUCUAGAGCUUAGAUCGGGCCCAACAAAUCAAGCCCGACCCUACCCAAGCACAAGCACAUUGAGUUCGAGCCCGGCCUGACGCGUUCACUGUAAUUAUGAGCCUGAGCCCGAUUUAAACCCGACCAUUUUUAAUAUGUGGGCCGUUAUAACCGGGGGUGGCACCAGAUUUUUACCACAGGUGCUGCUGUACUAGAUCAUUUAGGCUACGGGGGAGCUGCUCAGAUAUUAUAUAAAUCCUAUUAAUAAAAGAGAAAAAAUUGUCCACUCAAUAUUAAAUAUUCUAUUAUUUUAAUUAUCAUAAUUAAAGUUUUACUUUUAUUAAAUUGAACAAGCACAACAUUCAGCAUAAUAUGUGUGUGGUGUUUGAGCAACAAGCAAGAUGUGCAUUUGUAAAUUCGGUGACAGCGCGUGUUAUGAGUUUCAAAUGGUUCAAGUGUGACCGCGGCGCGCUGGCGCCUCCAUGUCAUUAUUAUAUUGUCUGUUAUAUUGCUUUUUAUGUAUUAAACCCAGGCAAUUGGUUGAUGAAAAAUGUAUUAAAAUUAAGAUUCAAUUUAUAAUAAACGAAAUUCACUUUAAGGAAAAUCUUUCUUCAAAACGAAAAUUAACAAACUUGAAACUAAAUGUGCUUAUUUAAUGGCUAAAACACACAGGCUACUACAGACUUUCUUUUGUACAAAUUGCAGCACAUUCAUUUAAUUCUGAAUUGUGCACAUGUAAGUUGAAAGGCAUUUGUUUGUGCAUAGUUAAACAUAUCUGUAACUUUUAUCAAGUUUAGAAUUGUGUGCAUUUAUUAAUUAUUAUCUUAAUGAAUAAUACGACAAGAAAGAAGCAUGUUAACUGCGUUGUUUUUUUAUUCAGAAAUAAUUGAAUGGAUCCUAAAUGGAUCUGAAAUUCAGAAUGAAGAAACGUAAAACAAUAAA